UACGUAGGGUGCGAGCGUUGUCCGGAAUUAUUGGGCGUAAAGGGCUCGUAGGCGGUCUGUUGCGUCGGGAGUGAAAACUCAGGGCUUAACCCUGAGCCUGCUUCCGAUACGGGCAGACUAGAGGUAUGCAGGGGAGAACGGAAUUCCUGGUGUAGCGGUGAAAUGCGCAGAUAUCUGGAGGAACACCGGUGGCGAAGGCGGCAUCCUGGACCAACACUGACGCUGAGUGAGCGAAAGCCAGGGGAGCAAACGGG
rnacentral:rRNA from 1 species